AUUGAACGCUGGCGGCAGGCCUAACACAUGCAAGUCGAGCGGUAGAGAGAAGCUUGCUUCUCUUGAGAGCGGCGGACGGGUGAGUAAUGCCUAGGAAUCUGCCUGGUAGUGGGGGAUAACGUUCGGAAACGGACGCUAAUACCGCAUACGUCCUACGGGAGAAAGCAGGGGACCUUCGGGCCUUGCGCUAUCAGAUGAGCCUAGGUCGGAUUAGCUAGUUGGUGAGGUAAUGGCUCACCAAGGCGACGAUCCGUAACUGGUCUGAGAGGAUGAUCAGUCACACUGGAACUGAGACACGGUCCAGACUCCUACGGGAGGCAGCAGUGGGGAAUAUUGGACAAUGGGCGAAAGCCUGAUCCAGCCAUGCCGCGUGUGUGAAGAAGGUCUUCGGAUUGUAAAGCACUUUAAGUUGGGAGGAAGGGCAGUUACCUAAUACGUAAUUGUUUUGACGUUACCGACAGAAUAAGCACCGGCUAACUCUGUGCCAGCAGCCGCGGUAAUACAGAGGGUGCAAGCGUUAAUCGGAAUUACUGGGCGUAAAGCGCGCGUAGGUGGUUUGUUAAGUUGGAUGUGAAAUCCCCGGGCUCAACCUGGGAACUGCAUUCAAAACUGACUGACUAGAGUAUGGUAGAGGGUGGUGGAAUUUCCUGU
rnacentral:rRNA from 1 species